CUGGAUUAGCACAUAGGCUACUUUUUAUCCCGGAAAAUCAAAGAGUUCCCACGGGAAUUCGGAAAACCUACAUCCACGCGAACGAAGUCGCGGGCAUCAGCUAGUGUAUAAUAAGAAGAAUAUAUUGUUGUAGAUUGUUAUAAAGUUUAGACCAACAGAAUGUGGUGUUUUUGAAAAAAAAAAUGCACUAGAAGUACCUCCUAACUUACGUCAGUUAAACAAAGUUUCUGGAUAGUCGUAUGCUAAAAUAAUAAUAGUAACUGGACGAUUUUUGUAAAUAAAAUAUAUUUUAUCUAUGCUCAUUUUUCAUAUCUUAAAAUCUUGAUUAGUAAUUCAAAAUUUGUGUCAUUUAUUGACAUAUUAUUUGAUUCAAAAAAAUGUACAGAAUUUAUAGCCGAUUUUGUUGACAAAUAAUAAAAAAUAAUGCUAUGAAA